rnacentral:rRNA from 1 species
GGACCAGGAGCUUGCUCCUCUGACGUUAGCGGCGGACGGGUGAGUAACACGUGGAUAACCUACCUAUAAGACUGGGAUAACUUCGGGAAACCGGAGCUAAUACCGGAUAAUAUAUUGAACCGCAUGGUUCAAUAGUGAAAGACGGUUUUGCUGUCACUUAUAGAUGGAUCCGCGCCGCAUUAGCUAGUUGGUAAGGUAACGGCUUACCAAGGCAACGAUGCGUAGCCGACCUGAGAGGGUGAUCAGCCACACUGGAACUGAGACACGGUCCAGACUCCUACGGGAGGCAGCAGUAGGGAAUCUUCCGCAAUGGGCGAAAGCCUGACGGAGCAACGCCGCGUGAGUGAUGAAGGUCUUCGGAUCGUAAAACUCUGUUAUUAGGGAAGAACAAAUGUGUAAGUAACUAUGCACGUCUUGACGGUACCUAAUCAGAAAGCCACGGCUAACUACGUGCCAGCAGCCGCGGUAAUACGUAGGUGGCAAGCGUUAUCCGGAAUUAUUGGGCGUAAAGCGCGCGUAGGCGGUUUUUUAAGUCUGAUGUGAAAGCCCACGGCUCAACCGUGGAGGGUCAUUGGAAAC